UUCAUUCAAUACUGUUGAGCAGAGGUUGUCGUCAAGGGGACCCAAUUUCACCGUAUCUUUUUCUUUUUGUUGCCGAAAUUCUAGGCAUUAUGAUCCGUGGGAAUUCUGAUAUCAAGGGUGUUGUACUAAACCGUAAGGAACAUAAACUAGGCCAAUAUGCUGAUGACACUCAGCUUUUCUUGGAUGGCACAGAGGAUAGUCUAAAGGCAGCUAUGGAUACUCUCUCUCUUUUUUAUAGAAUUUCAGGAUUGAAAAUUAAUGUUGAUAAAACUAAAGCAAUAUGGUUAGGGGCUAUGAUUAAUAGUAAAGAUAUUAUCUGUAGUGAAUACAUAUUGGAUUGGGUUUCUGGUAACUUUGAGGUCUUGGGUAUAGUAUUAAACGCUAAGUUGAACGACCUCUGGGUUAUCAACACUAAAAAAAGAAUGGCUCUAAUACUGAAUAUUUUAAGAAAUUGGCGAAGAAGACAUUUAACUGUUAUCGGGAAAAUUACAGUUAUUAAAACUCUAGCUCUUUCCUCCUUGGUUCAUAUCUUUACAGCUCUACCUAAUCCACCAAAUGCUUUUAUUAAAGACUUAGAGCAAAUAUUCUUCUCUUUUCUGUGGAAUGGGAAACCUGACAAAAUAAAAAGAGUAACAUUGAAAAAGGACCACCGGGAGGGGGGAAUUAGGAUGACGGAUAUCCUUUCUUUCAUCGACUCACUAAAAAUAACAGCAUUGAAAAGAUGCCUUUGUAGAGCUCCUUGCAAUAAUCCGUGCAAUGUUCCCAUUAUACCAUUACUCCAAUUAGGAGCUAAUAGUGAUCUAUCUAAGGAAGUUGAUAACCUUUAUUGGAAGGAUGUUUUUCAGGCAUGCACGAGGUAUAGAUCAUCUUUUAAAAUUGAUCAACAUGACUAUGAGAAAAUACUU